UGCGUAGGUGGCAGAUCAAGUCUGGAGUAAAAGGUAUGGGCUCAACCCGUACUGGCUCUGGAAACUGAUCAGCUAGAGAACAGAAGAGGACGGCGGAACUCCAUGUGUAGCGGUAAAAUGCGUAGAUAUAUGGAAGAACACCGGUGGCGAAGGCGGCUUACUGGACGGUAACUGACGUUGAGGCUCGAAAGCGUGGGGAGCAAACA
rnacentral:rRNA from 1 species